rnacentral:rRNA from 1 species
GGAGGAAAGCAGGGGAUCGCAAGACCUUGCGCUCAUUGAGCGGCCGAUGCCUGAUUAGCUAGUUGGUGAGGUAAAGGCUUACCAAGGCGACGAUCAGUAGCUGGUCUGAGAGGACGACCAGCCACACUGGGACUGAGACACGGCCCAGACUCCUACGGGAGGCAGCAGUGGGGAAUUUUGGGCAAUGGGGGAAACCCUGAUCCAGCCAUGCCGCGUGAGUGAAGAAGGCCUUCGGGUUGUAAAGCUCUUUCAGCCGGAACGAAACGGUCACGGCUAAUACCUGUGACUACUGACGGUACCGGAAGAAGAAGCACCGGCUAACUACGUGCCAGCAGCCGCGGUAAUACGUAGGGUGCGAGCGUUAAUCGGAAUUACUGGGCGUAAAGCGUGCGCAGGCGGUUUUGUAAGUCAGAAGAGAAAUCCCCGGGCUUAACCUGGGAACUGCGUUUGUAAAUAGAAAGCUAGAAGGGC